GUUAAGAAUAUAUUUUUGAUAAGUAUGUUUUCUACUACUGUAAGGGUUGGUUGCGCCUUUAAAGCUGGCUUGUACUUAUGCAAAGACGGAUUAUUAAUUAUUGCCUUUGAGCAUCCACACGCUCCGCUUGAUGCAAUUUGACCAAAUGAAGCUUAAAACUGCUGCGAAGAAUCCUACAGCAAACUUACCUUUUAUUAAAGAUGUCGACUUUUACGUUACGCUUUGGAAAACUUAUUAAAUCUAACACCACUCAGAUCCGAACGGCACAAAAGACCAUCCGAUUAUGUGAUUUCCUAGUA